CCUACGGGGGGCAGCAGUGGGGAAUAUUGCACAAUGGGGGAAACCCUGAUGCAGCGACGCCGCGUGAAGGAAGAAGUGUUUCGGCAUGUAAAAUUCUAUCAGCAGGGAAGAAAAUGACGGUACCUGACUAAGAAGCCCCGGCUAACUACGUGCCAGCAGCCGCGGUAAUACGUAGGGGGCAGGCGUUAUCCGGAUUUACUGGGUGUAAAGGGAGCGUAGGCGGUGCAGCAAGUCAGAAGUGAAAGCCCGGGGCCCAACCCCGGGACUGCUUUUGAAACUGGUGUACUAGAGUGCAGGAGAGGUAAGUGGAAUUCCUGGUGUAGCGGUGAAAUGCGGAGAUAUUAGGAGGAACACCAGUGGCGAAGGCGGCCUACUGGACUGUGAAUGACGCUGAGGCUCGAAAGCGUGGGGAGCAAACAGGAUUAGAUACCCCAGUAGUC
rnacentral:rRNA from 1 species